AUAUAUGAAGACUUGUAGAAACAACUAUAAAAAGAGUGACAAUUAGUAUUUGGGCUUUAAUGAGUUUUAAACGAAUAUAUGUAUUUCUCAUAAGAAGACAAUAGCAUUGGUUUUUUGACAUUGAGCAUGUAAGCUAUUUUCAUAAGACAAGAGGAGUGAGUAGGUGGACAUGUUUGUCUGUUAGGAUUGUCUCUUGUAUCUCCUGGUGUGGCUGUGUUUGUUUCUCUUUUAUUUGAUGGGUAAUAUGUAAACAAAAAUUAUUGUUAGUUGUAUUUAUCAGAAUUUGUAACUUACUCUUCUUUUUUGUUUAGGUAAUUUCACUGAUCUUGGUUGUCGUCUUCUUCGUAAACAUCUGCAAAAGUAAGUUUGUAAAUUGUUAAAUAGCUGGCUGCAUAGUUUGAAUUUGUUUAGAUGGCUCAAUGUAUGAGUCGUUGAGUUUUAGUUGAGUUGAUUGGUUUGGUAUAUUUGUUUUGAAGUUUAUUUGUAAGAUUAGGC
rnacentral:lncRNA from 1 species